ensembl:ncRNA F56E3.9 ncRNA
CAUUUGUGCAAAGCCUGUUAUUUGGGUGCCCUCGUGCGAUCAGCACCCAAUGAUUACAGCUGGAAAAGAACACAAGAAGUUGCAGAGGAUCUAUGCACUUUGUCGGAGGUUCCAUGAACUUACAUUUUUCAAAUAAUGUGAUAGAUUG